GUUUUUAGAAAUAAGGCUGAGGGUGAAGAGUGAUGUGUCCAUAAGGGUGUGAGAAGUCUGUCUUUUAAGAAUAAAUGCCAUCCCUUCCCACGCCAACCAUAUUGAUGAUACAGUGGCAGGAAGGAGAGUAGGGGACUCUGGAGCUUAAACAGACCAUCACAUGCACCCUCAGUCAUCACAGUCAUUAGACUGGACAUCUGCCUCCAUGGAGAAUAUGUGAAUACCUCUGAAUGUACUUCCUGGAGGAGCUGCCAAACUAUUUCCAGCAAUGACAAAACAUAGCAUGGAAGGCAGCAAACAAGAUGCUAACUGAUGGAGUGAAAUCCCCAGGAGAUGCAGAAGGCAAGUGCAGCUAACUGAGGCCUCAGGGGCAGGAGAUGCCCAUCAGGAUGAGAGCUAUGUCUUUCUCCAGUGAUGACUCUGCUUCUAUGAGGUCACCAGCAGUAGAACCAUAUCUUGCUGGCAUACACUUGGGAUGGCCCCGCCUCUUGGACUUCCAUCUGUCAUCAGGAGAACAUGACCAUCUGGAGUCAGUACAGAUCAUCAAUCCUUCCACAUAUACAAGUU
rnacentral:lncRNA from 1 species